rnacentral:rRNA from 1 species
CUUGUUCUUUAAAUGAGGACUCGUAUCAACGGCACUACGAGGGCUAUACUGUCUCCUUUUUCUAAUCAGUGAAACUGAUCUCCCCGUGAAGAAGCGGGGAUUAUAAUAUAAGACGAGAAGACCCCAUGGAGCUUUAAACUCACCAUGCACCUCUGUGCUCCCAUACCCCUAAACACAACAGACCUGCAUGUUAGUUUUAGGUUGGGGUGACCACGGAGUACAACUUAACCUCCAUAGCAAACGGGCUGAUACCCUUAUCCACGAGACACAACUCUAAGAAUUACUAAACUAAUGCUUACGACCCGAUAUUCGAUCCAUGAACCAAGUUACCCUGGGGAUAACAGCGCAAUCUACUUCAAGAGCCCAUAUCGACAAGUAG